GGCCUAAUGGCCCAAUGGCAAGGCGCUUGACUACGAUUCAAUAAUUGGCAUCAAGAGAUUCCAGGUUCGACCCCUGGUUAGGUCA
rnacentral:tRNA from 1 species